AGUGAACGCUGGCGGCGUGCUUAACACAUGCAAGUCGAACGAGAACGGAAUAUAGCUUGCUAUAUUUGUCAACUAAGUGGCGCACGGGUGAGUAAUGUAUAGAUAACCUGCCCUUAAGAAAGGAAUAACAGUUGGAAACGACUGCUAAUGCCCUAUAUGCCUUUAAUACAUAAGUAUGCAAGGGAAACGCUUUAGUGCUUAAGGAUGGGUCUGUAUGGUAUCAGCUUGUUGGUGAGGUAAUGGCUCACCAAGGCUAUGACGCCUAACUGGUUUGAGAGGAUGAUCAGUCAAACUGGAACUGAGACACGGUCCAGACUCCUACGGGAGGCAGCAGUGGGGAAUAUUGCACAAUGGACGAAAGUCUGAUGCAGCAACGCCGCGUGGAGGAUGACACAUUUCGGUGCGUAAACUCCUUUUAUAUAGGAAGAUAAUGACGGUACUAUAUGAAUAAGCACCGGCUAACUCCGUGCCAGCCGCCGCAGUAA
rnacentral:rRNA from 1 species